rnacentral:misc_RNA from 1 species
GAUGAAGAACGCAGUGAAAUGCGAUACGUAAUGUGAAUUGCAGAAUUCAGUGAAUCAUCGAGUCUUUGAACGCACAUUGCGCCCCCUGGUAUUCCGGGGGGCAUGCCUGUCCGAGCGUCAUUGCUGCCCUCAAGCACGGCUUGUGUGUUGGGCCUCCGUCCUCCUCCCGGGGGACGGGCCCGAAAGGCAGCGGCGGCACCGCGUCCGGUCCUCGAGCGUAUGGGGCUUCGUCACCCGCUCGUGUAGGCCCGGCCGGCGCUUGCCGACACAUCAAUCUUUUUUCCAGGUUGACCUCGGAUCAGGUAGGGAUACCCGCUGAACUUAAGCAUAUCAAUAAGCGGAGGA